rnacentral:rRNA from 1 species
UACGGAGGGUGCAAGCAUUAAUCGGAAUUAUUGGGCGUAAAGGGCGCGUAGGCGGAGUGGUCAGUCAGGUGUGAAAUCCCAGAGCUUAACUCUGGAACAGCACUUGAAACUGCCACCCUAGAGGAUGGACGGAGAAAACGGAAUUCCACAAGUAGCGGUGAAAUGCGUAGAUAUGUGGAAGAACACCUGUGGCGAAAGCGGUUUUCUAGUUUAUUCCUGACGCUAAUGCGCGAAAGCAAGGGGAGCAAACAGG